rnacentral:rRNA from 1 species
AUUGAACGCUGGCGGCAGGCCUAACACAUGCAAGUCGAGCGAGCGGCGGACGGGUGAGUAAUGUAUGGGGAUCUGCCUGAUAGCGGGGGAUAACUACUGGAAACGGUGGCUAAUACCGCAUACUAUCAGAUGAACCCAUAUGGGAUUAGCUUGUAGGUGGGGUAAAGGCUCACCUAGGCGACGAUCCCUAGCUGGUCUGAGAGGAUGACCAGCCACACUGGGACUGAGACACGGCCCAGACUCCGACGGGAGGCAGCAGUGGGGAAUAUUGCGCAAUGGGGGCAACCCUGAUGCAGCCAUGCCGCGUGUAUGAAGAAGGCCUUCGGGUUGUAAAGUUCUUUCGGUAGCGAGGCGUUACCUACAGAAGAAGCACCGGCUAACUCCGUGCCAGCAGCCGCGGUAAUAC